GCCUGUAUGGUGGUUGUGCUCCUUGACUUGUAAUCAAGUGGCCUCGGGUUUGAAUCCCGAAUUAGGCA